UACGGGGGGGGCAAGCGUUGUUCGGAAUUACUGGGCGUAAAGGGCUCGUAGGUGGCCAACUAAGUCAGACGUGAAAUCCCUCGGCUUAACCGGGGAACUGCGUCUGAUACUGGAUGGCUUGAGUUCGGGAGAGGGAUGCGGAAUUCCAGGUGUAGCGGUGAAAUGCGUAGAUAUCUGGAGGAACACCGGUGGCGAAGGCGGCAUCCUGGACCGGUAUUGACGCUGAGGCGCGAAAGCUAGGGGAGCAAACGGG
rnacentral:rRNA from 1 species